UACGGAGGAUCCGAGCGUUAUCCGGAUUUAUUGGGUUUAAAGGGUGCGUAGGCGGCCUAUUAAGUCAGGGGUGAAAUACGGUGGCUCAACCAUCGCAGUGCCUUUGAUACUGAUGGGCUUGAAUCCAUUUGAAGUGGGCGGAAUAAGACAAGUAGCGGUGAAAUGCAUAGAUAUGUCUUAGAACUCCGAUUGCGAAGGCAGCUCACUAAGCUGGUAUUGACGCUGAUGCACGAAAGCGUGGGGAUCGAACAGGAUUAGAAACCCGGUAGUCC
rnacentral:rRNA from 1 species